rnacentral:rRNA from 1 species
UAACCUGCCCAAGAGACUGGGAUAACACCUGGAAACAGAUGCUAAUACCGGAUAACAACACUAGACGCAUGUCUAGAGUUUGAAAGAUGGUUCUGCUAUCACUCUUGGAUGGACCUGCGGUGCAUUAGCUAGUUGGUAAGGUAACGGCUUACCAAGGCAAUGAUGCAUAGCCGAGUUGAGAGACUGAUCGGCCACAUUGGGACUGAGACACGGCCCAAACUCCUACGGGAGGCAGCAGUAGGGAAUCUUCCACAAUGGACGAAAGUCUGAUGGAGCAGCGCCGCGUGAGUGAAGAAGGGUUUCGGCUCGUAAAGCUCUGUUGGUAGUGAAGAAAGAUAGAGGUAGUAACUGGCCUUUAUUUGACGGUAAUUACUUAGAAAGUCACGGCUAACUACGUGCCAGCAGCCGCGGUAAUACGUAGGUGGCAAGCGUUGUCCGGAUUUAUUGGGCGUAAAGCGAGUGCAGGCGGUUCAAUAAGUCUGAUGUGAAAGCCUUCGGCUCAACCGGAGAAUUGCAUCAGAAACUGUUGAACUUGAGUGCAGAAGAGGAGAGUGGAACUCCAUGUGUAGCGGUGGAAUGCGUAGAUAUAUGGAAGAACACCAGUGGCGAAGGCGGCUCUCUGGUCUGCAACUGACGCUGAGGCUCGAAAGCAUGGGUAGCGAACAGGAUUAGAUACCCUGGUAGUCCAUGCCGUAAACGAUGAGUGCUAAGUGUUGGG